rnacentral:rRNA from 1 species
ACGCUUGAAGAGGGGGUCGCGGCUGAUUAGCUAGUUGGUGAGGUAAUGGCUCACCAAGGCGAAGAUCGGUAGCCGGCCUGAGAGGGCGCACGGCCACACUGGAACUGAAACACGGUCCAG